rnacentral:rRNA from 1 species
GGAGUUAGCCGGUGCUUCUUCUGUGAGUGAUGUCCUUCCUGCCGGCUAUUAACCCGCAGGCCUUCUUCCUCACUGAAAGUGCUUUACAACCCGAAGGCCUUCUUCACACACGCGGCAUGGCUGGAUCAGGGUUGCCCCCAUUGUCCAAUAUUCCCCACUGCUGCCUCCCGUAGGAGUCUGGGCCGUGUCUCAGUCCCAGUGUGGCUGAUCAUCCUCUCAGACCAGCUACGGAUCGUCGCCUUGGUGAGCCGUUACCUCACCAACCAGCUAAUCCGACAUAGGCUCAUCCGAUAGCGCGAGGCCCGAAGGUCCCCCGCUUUCCCCCGUAGGGCGUAUGCGGUAUUAGCCUGGGUUUCCCCAGGUUAUCCCCCACUACCGGGCAGAUUCCUAUGCAUUACUCACCCGUCCGCCGCUCGCCACCAGGGAGCAAGCUCCCCGUGCUGCCGCUCGACUUGCAUGUGUUAGGCCUGCCGCCAGCGUUCAAUCUGAGCCGAGCACACU